ensembl:misc_RNA Y_RNA Y RNA
GGCUGGUCUGAGUGAGUAGCGCUUACAACUAAUUGAUCACAACCAGUUACAGACUCCUUUGGUCUUUCUCCACUCCCACAGCUACUUGACAAGCCUUUA